AUCGUUAACUUUCAAAGGAUGACGCACGAGGUUUAAGUAACCGUAACUAAAAUACAGGAAAUUUGAGAAUGAAAUUUAUAGGAGCAGUGUGCAAUCGCGAGUGCGCUGGCUCCUUCGUGUGCAUCGCCAUGGACUGAAGCUUGCAG